rnacentral:rRNA from 1 species
GGUCAAGUGAAGAAGCGCAUACGGUGGAUGCCUUGGCAGUCAGAGGCGAUGAAAGACGUGGUAGCCUGCGAUAAGCUUCGGGGAGUCGGCAAACAGACUUUGAUCCGGAGAUCUCUGAAUGGGGGAACCCACUCAGCAUAAGCUGAGUAUCUUGUACUGAAUACAUAGGUGCAAGAGGCGAACCAGGGGAACUGAAACAUCUAAGUACCCUGAGGAAAAGAAAUCAACCGAGAUUCCCUUAGUAGUGGCGAGCGAACGGGGACUAGCCCUUAAGUGGCUUUGAGAUUAGCGGAACGCUCUGGAAAGUGCGGCCAUAGUGGGUGAUAGCCCUGUACGCGAAAAUCUCUUAGUCAUGAAAUCGAGUAGGACGGAGCACGAGAAACUUUGUCUGAAUAUGGGGGGACCAUCCUCCAAGGCUAAAUACUACUGACUGACCGAUAGUGAACCAGUACCGUGAGGGAAAGGCGAAAAGAACCCCGGAGAGGGGAGUGAAAUAGAUCCUGAAACCGUAUGCGUACAAGCAGUGGGAGCCUACUUUGUUAGGUGACUGCGUACCUUUUGUAUAAUGGGUCAGCGACUUAUAUUCAGUGGCGAGCUUAACCGAAUAGGGGAGGCGUAGCGAAAGCGAGUCUUAAUAGGGCGUUUAGUCGCUGGGUAUAGACCCGAAACCGGGCGAUCUAUCCAUGGGCAGGUUGAAGGUUAGGUAACACUGACUGGAGGACCGAACCGACUACCGUUGAAAAGUUAGCGGAUGACCUGUGGAUCGGAGUGAAAGGCUAAUCAAGCUCGGAGAUAGCUGGUUCUCCUCGAAAGCUAUUUAGGUAGCGCCUCAUGUAUCACUGUAGGGGGUAGAGCACUGUUUCGGCUAGGGGGUCAUCCCGACUUACCAAACCGAUGCAAACUCCGAAUACCUACAAGUGCCGAGCAUGGGAGACACACGGCGGGUGCUAACGUCCGUCGUGAAAAGGGAAACAACCCAGACCGUCAGCUAAGGUCCCAAAGUUAUGGUUAAGUGGGAAACGAUGUGGGAAGGCUUAGACAGCUAGGAGGUUGGCUUAGAAGCAGCCACCCUUUAAAGAAAGCGUAAUAGCUCACUAGUCGAGUCGGCCUGCGCGGAAGAUGUAACGGGGCUCAAACCAUACACCGAAGCUACGGGUAUCACUUAGGUGAUGCGGUAGAGGAGCGUUCUGUAAGCCUGUGAAGGUGAGUUGAGAAGCUUGCUGGAGGUAUCAGAAGUGCGAAUGCUGACAUGAGUAACGACAAUGGGAGUGAAAAACUCCCACGCCGAAAGACCAAGGUUUCCUGCGCAACGUUAAUCGACGCAGGGUUAGUCGGUCCCUAAGGCGAGGCUGAAAAGCGUAGUCGAUGGAAAACAGGUUAAUAUUCCUGUACUUCUGGUUAUUGCGAUGGAGGGACGGAGAAGGCUAGGCCAGCUUGGCGUUGGUUGUCCAAGUUUAAGGUGGUAGGCUGAGAUCUUAGGUAAAUCCGGGAUCUUAAGGCCGAGAGCUGAUGACGAGUUGCCUUUAGGCGACGAAGUGGUUGAUGCCAUGCUUCCAAGAAAAGCUUCUAAGCUUCAGAUAACCAGGAACCGUACCCCAAACCGACACAGGUGGUUGGGUAGAGAAUACCAAGGCGCUUGAGAGAACUCGGGUGAAGGAACUAGGCAAAAUGGCACCGUAACUUCGGGAGAAGGUGCGCCGGUGAGGGUGAAGGACUUGCUCCGUAAGCCCAUGCCGGUCGAAGAUACCAGGCCGCUGCGACUGUUUAUUAAAAACACAGCACUCUGCAAACACGAAAGUGGACGUAUAGGGUGUGACGCCUGCCCGGUGCCGGAAGGUUAAUUGAUGGGGUUAGCUAACGCGAAGCUCUUGAUCGAAGCCCCGGUAAACGGCGGCCGUAACUAUAACGGUCCUAAGGUAGCGAAAUUCCUUGUCGGGUAAGUUCCGACCUGCACGAAUGGCGUAACGAUGGCGGCGCUGUCUCCACCCGAGACUCAGUGAAAUUGAAAUCGCUGUGAAGAUGCAGUGUAUCCGCGGCUAGACGGAAAGACCCCGUGAACCUUUACUAUAGCUUUGCACUGGACUUUGAAUUUGCUUGUGUAGGAUAGGUGGGAGGCUUUGAAGCGUGGACGCCAGUUCGCGUGGAGCCAUCCUUGAAAUACCACCCUGGCAACUUUGAGGUUCUAACUCAGGUCCGUUAUCCGGAUCGAGGACAGUGUAUGGUGGGUAGUUUGACUGGGGCGGUCUCCUCCUAAAGAGUAACGGAGGAGUACGAAGGUGCGCUCAGACCGGUCGGAAAUCGGUCGUAGAGUAUAAAGGCAAAAGCGCGCUUGACUGCGAGACAGACACGUCGAGCAGGUACGAAAGUAGGUCUUAGUGAUCCGGUGGUUCUGUAUGGAAGGGCCAUCGCUCAACGGAUAAAAGGUACUCCGGGGAUAACAGGCUGAUACCGCCCAAGAGUUCAUAUCGACGGCGGUGUUUGGCACCUCGAUGUCGGCUCAUCACAUCCUGGGGCUGAAGCCGGUCCCAAGGGUAUGGCUGUUCGCCAUUUAAAGUGGUACGCGAGCUGGGUUUAGAACGUCGUGAGACAGUUCGGUCCCUAUCUGCCGUGGACGUUUGAGAUUUGAGAGGGGCUGCUCCUAGUACGAGAGGACCGGAGUGGACGAACCUCUGGUGUUCCGGUUGUCACGCCAGUGGCAUUGCCGGGUAGCUAUGUUCGGAAGAGAUAACCGCUGAAAGCAUCUAAGCGGGAAACUUGCCUCAAGAUGAGAUCUCACUGGAGCCUUGAGCUCCCUGAAGGGCCGUCGAAGACUACGACGUUGAUAGGUUGGGUGUGUAAGCGCUGUGAGGCGUUGAGCUAACCAAUACUAAUUGCCCGUGAGGCUUGACCAU